GGGUUGUGAGGUUAAGCGACUAAGCGUACACGGUGGAUGCCCUGGCAGUCAGAGGCGAUGAAGGACGUGCUAAUCUGCGAAAAGCGUCGGUAAGGUGAUAUGAACCGUUACAGCCGGCGAUGUCCGAAUGGGGAAACCCAGUGCAAUUCGUUGCACUAUCGUUAACUGAAUACAUAGGUUAACGAAGCGAACCGGGGGAACUGAAACAUCUAAGUACCCCGAGGAAAAGAAAUCAACCGAGAUUCCCCCAGUAGCGGCGAGCGAACGGGGAGCAGCCCAGAGUCUGAAUCAGCUUGUGUGUUAGUGGAACGGUCUGGAAAGUCCGACGGUACAGGGUGAUAGUCCCGUACACCAAAAUGCACAGGCUGUGAACUCGAAGAGUAGGGCGGGACACGUGGUAUCCUGUCUGAAUAUGGGGGGACCAUCCUCCAAGGCUAAAUACUCCUGACUGACCGAUAGUGAACCAGUACCGUGAGGGAAAGGCGAAAAGAACCCCGGCGAGGGGAGUGAAAAAGAACCUGAAACCGUGUACGUACAAGCAGUGGGAGCACCUUCGGGUGUGACUGCGUACCUUUUGUAUAAUGGGUCAGCGACUUAUAUUCUGUAGCAAGGUUAACCGUAUAGGGGAGCCGCAGGGAAACCGAGUCUUAACUGGGCGUUAAGUUGCAGGGUAUAGACCCGAAACCCGGUGAUCUAGCCAUGGGCAGGUUGAAGGUUGGGUAACACUAACUGGAGGACCGAACCGACUAAUGUUGAAAAAUUAGCGGAUGACUUGUGGCUGGGGGUGAAAGGCCAAUCAAACCGGGAGAUAGCUGGUUCUCCCCGAAAGCUAUUUAGGUAGCGCCUCGUGAACUCAUCUUCGGGGGUAGAGCACUGUUUCGGCUAGGGGGUCAUCCCGACUUACCAACCCGAUGCAAACUACGAAUACCGAAGAAUGUUAUCACGGGAGACACACGGCGGGUGCUAACGUCCGUCGUGAAGAGGGAAACAACCCAGACCGCCAGCUAAGGUCCCAAAGUCAUGGUUAAGUGGGAAACGAUGUGGGAAGGCACAGACAGCCAGGAUGUUGGCUUAGAAGCAGCCAUCAUUUAAAGAAAGCGUAAUAGCUCACUGGUCGAGUCGGCCUGCGCGGAAGAUGUAACGGGGCUAAACCAUGCACCGAAGCUGCGGCAGCGACACUAUGUGUUGUUGGGUAGGGGAGCGUUCUGUAAGCCUGCGAAGGUGUGCUGUGAGGCAUGCUGGAGGUAUCAGAAGUGCGAAUGCUGACAUAAGUAACGAUAAAGCGGGUGAAAAGCCCGCUCGCCGGAAGACCAAGGGUUCCUGUCCAACGUUAAUCGGGGCAGGGUGAGUCGACCCCUAAGGCGAGGCCGAAAGGCGUAGUCGAUGGGAAACAGGUUAAUAUUCCUGUACUUGGUGUUACUGCGAAGGGGGGACGGAGAAGGCUAUGUUAGCCGGGCGACGGUUGUCCCGGUUUAAGCAUGUAGGCUGGUUAUCCAGGCAAAUCCGGAUAAUCAAGGCUGAGGUGUGAUGACGAGGCACUACGGUGCUGAAGUAACAAAUGCCCUGCUUCCAGGAAAAGCCUCUAAGCAUCAGGUAACAUCAAAUCGUACCCCAAACCGACACAGGUGGUCAGGUAGAGAAUACCAAGGCGCUUGAGAGAACUCGGGUGAAGGAACUAGGCAAAAUGGUGCCGUAACUUCGGGAGAAGGCACGCUGGUGUGUAGGUGAAGCCCCUGCGGGUGGAGCUGAGACCAGUCGAAGAUACCAGCUGGCUGCAACUGUUUAUUAAAAACACAGCACUGUGCAAACACGAAAGUGGACGUAUACGGUGUGACGCCUGCCCGGUGCCGGAAGGUUAAUUGAUGGGGUUAUCCGUAAGGAGAAGCUCUUGAUCGAAGCCCCGGUAAACGGCGGCCGUAACUAUAACGGUCCUAAGGUAGCGAAAUUCCUUGUCGGGUAAGUUCCGACCUGCACGAAUGGCGUAAUGAUGGCCAGGCUGUCUCCACCCGAGACUCAGUGAAAUUGAACUCGCUGUGAAGAUGCAGUGUACCCGCGGCAAGACGGAAAGACCCCGUGAACCUUUACUAUAGCUUGACACUGAACAUUGAGCCUUGAUGUGUAGGAUAGGUGGGAGGCUUUGAAGCGUGGACGCCAGUCUGCGUGGAGCCAACCUUGAAAUACCACCCUUUAAUGUUUGAUGUUCUAACGUUGGCCCCUUACCGGGGUUGCGGACAGUGUCUGGUGGGUAGUUUGACUGGGGCGGUCUCCUCCCAAAGCGUAACGGAGGAGCACGAAGGUUAGCUAAUCCUGGUCGGACAUCAGGAGGUUAGUGCAAUGGCAUAAGCUAGCUUGACUGCGAGCGUGACGGCGCGAGCAGGUGCGAAAGCAGGUCAUAGUGAUCCGGUGGUUCUGAAUGGAAGGGCCAUCGCUCAACGGAUAAAAGGUACUCCGGGGAUAACAGGCUGAUACCGCCCAAGAGUUCAUAUCGACGGCGGUGUUUGGCACCUCGAUGUCGGCUCAUCACAUCCUGGGGCUGAAGUAGGUCCCAAGGGUAUGGCUGUUCGCCAUUUAAAGUGGUACGCGAGCUGGGUUUAGAACGUCGUGAGACAGUUCGGUCCCUAUCUGCCGUGGGCGCUGGAGAAUUGAGGGGGGCUGCUCCUAGUACGAGAGGACCGGAGUGGACGCAUCACUGGUGUUCGGGUUGUCAUGCCAAUGGCACUGCCCGGUAGCUAAAUGCGGAAGAGAUAAGUGCUGAAAGCAUCUAAGCACGAAACUUGCCCCGAGAUGAGUUCUCCCUGAGACUAUAAGUCUCCUGAAGGAACGUUAAAGACGAUGACGUUGAUAGGCCGGGUGUGUAAGCGCAGCGAUGCGUUGAGCUAACCGGUACUAAUGAACCGUGAGGCUUAACCUUACAACGCCGAAG
rnacentral:rRNA from 1 species